UACGUAGGGGGCUAGCGUUGUCCGGAAUUACUGGGCGUAAAGCGUGCGUAGGUGGUUUGUUAAGUCUGAUGUGAAAGCCCUGGGCUCAACCUGGGAAUUGCAUUGGAUACUGGCAGGCUAGAGUGCGGUAGAGGAUGGCGGAAUUCCCGGUGUAGCAGUGAAAUGCGUAGAGAUCGGGAGGAACAUCUGUGGCGAAGGCGGCCAUCUGGACCAGCACUGACACUGAGGCACGAAAGCGUGGGGAGCAAACAGG
rnacentral:rRNA from 1 species